UACAACAUUUGACUCUUCGUCUUAUUUAAAAUUCUUCUAUCAUUAAUAUUAUUAUUAUUAUGAAAAGGAUUUUAUGCGUGACUAAUAUUUUUAAUUUUUUUAUAAUUUUUUUAAAUAAGACGGGCGGUAAACGUUGGACACAGAAACCCA
rnacentral:pre_miRNA from 1 species